GACGAACGCUGGCGGCGUGCUUAACACAUGCAAGUCGAACGGAAAGGCCCUGCUUUUGUGGGGUGCUCGAGUGGCGAACGGGUGAGUAACACGUGAGUAACCUGCCCUUGACUUUGGGAUAACUUCAGGAAACUGGGGCUAAUACCGGAUAGGAGCUCCUGCUGCAUGGUGGGGGUUGGAAAGUUUCGGCGGUUGGGGAUGUACUCGCGGCUUAUCAGCUUGUUGGUGGGGUAGUGGCUUACCAAGGCUUUGACGGGUAGCCGGCCUGAGAGGGUGACCGGCCACAUUGGGACUGAGAUACGGACCAGAAUCCUACGGGAGGCAGCAGUGGGGAAUAUUGCAGAAUGGGCGGAAGCCUGAUGCAGCAACGCCGCGUGCGGGAUGACGGCCUUCGGGUUGUAAACCGCUUUCGACUGUGACGAAGCGUGAGUGACGGUAAUGGGUAAAGAAGCACCGGCUAACUACGUG
rnacentral:rRNA from 1 species